AUGUUUUUUCUUUUCUUCAGGACAGUUGACCAGAAGCUUAAAAGUGGGGACAGGGAUACCUUUUCAAGUAACAGUGUGAUGGAAUGCAAGCAAGAACCUGAAAUGUUUUCUUUGAAUGUGGAUUCCUCUAUUCCAAUAAGGCCUGGUUGUCACCAGCUCUAUUUCACCACAAAGGCAUAACGCUCACUUCUCCAUGAAAUGGGAGUGUCAGAUCUAAACUCUGGCAGUUGUGACUUAAAACAGUAAAGCAGCAUUGGAAAUUCCUGAGAUAGGUGAGUUUCUCCUGGGUUGUUUGGUGUUUCUGGGAGCGUGGGUAUCUUGUGAGAGAGGAGCCAGCAUGCCUGAAAUCGUAAUUCUUUGUUUA
rnacentral:lncRNA from 1 species